ensembl:misc_RNA Metazoa_SRP Metazoan signal recognition particle RNA
GCCGGGCGUGGUGGCUCACGCCUGUAAUCCCAGCACUUUGGGAGGCCGAGGCGGGUGGAUCACCUGAGGUCAGGAGUUCAAGACCAGCCUGAGCCACAUGGUGAAACCCCGUCUCUA